GACGGGGACCCGCACAAGCGUGGAUGAUGUGGAUCAAUUCGAUGCAACGCGAAAACCUUACCUACCCUUGACAUGUCUGGAACCUUGCUGAGAGGCGAGGGUGCCUUCGGGAGCCAGAACACAGGUGCUGCAUGGCUGUCGUCAGCUCGUGUCGUGAGAUGUUGGGUUAAGUCCCGCAACGAGCGCAACCCUUGUCAUUAGUUGCCAUCAUUUAGUUGGGCACUCUAAUGAGACUGCCGGUGACAAACCGGGAGGAAGGUGGGGAUGACGUCAAGUCCUCAUGGCCCUUAUGGGUAGGGCUUCACACGUCAUACAAUGGUCGGUACAGAGGGUUGCCAAGCCGCGAGGUGGAGCCAAUCCCUUAAAGUCGAUCGUAGUCCGGAUCGUAGUCUGCAACUCGACUACGUGAAGUCGGAAUCGCUAGUAAUCGUAGAUCAGCAUGCUACGGUGAAUACGUUCCCGGGCCUU
rnacentral:rRNA from 1 species